CAUCCACCAGCUAGAAGAUUAUAAUUCACUUUAUUGCAAUAUUCAUUUUAUUGUGAUGGUCUGGAAACAAACUUCUCCAAGGAUGAAGAGAAACAGGAAGAAGUUAAGUGGUAUUAAAGAGAAGGCCCUGAGUGAAUUGGGUUUGUGACAGAUGGGAGAUGAUAUGGGUCAUCUGGAGGUGGGAGGCUGCCAUUACAACAAACACGUGUUCAGGGUGUUGUCUUCCCCCCUCCUUCUCCUCGUAGUAGAGAAAUCAGCUCAAAGGAAAUAUGUCAAAAGAAAUUCAGGAACAAUGGAGUUCAUCACGUAUUUUUAUGUGGUGCUUCACAUACUACCUACAUCACAGCUGUGGGGCGGUGAGACCAACAGGGUCUUCUGCCAAAGUCAAGAGAACUGUGCUCCAGACCACUCUGCCGUUUCCCACCGGAGAUCUGUGGCUAUGGGCUUUUCUGUGCCUCAGUGUCCUUGACUGUGCUUUCAGGGUUCACUGAGGAAACGUAUAUGAACUCUAUAACGCAAUGUACAACUGUCAAAGUUAAAGGAUUUUAUUGAAAUGGUAGUCCCUAGAAUGUAUUCUAUGUUGGUAAAGUAUAGUUUAGAAAUCAAAGAGAACGUAGGAUUGAGCAUUUCUUGAAUUUAUUUGCCCCGGGGAACAUUUUUAUUUAUUAAAAUUCAGUAUAAUUAUGUCCAACUGAGACUGCCUAUCAGCAUCACUUGCAAGGGCAUGGCAGGGCUUGUCUGGACUCUUUCCGAUCCUCCAAGAGCAAAAUGGCUAGUGCAGAGCUUAGGGCCCGCGAGUCUCAUCUCCCCGUUUAAUAUGUGCUCUAAUUAUGAACAUCUGCUUCAAAGCAGAGGAUUUUCAAAACUUUGCAUAGGAAAGAAUUACCCGGGGAGCAUAUUAAAUAUUCAGAUUCCUAGGUUUGACCAAGAAAACUUCUAAGUAGAUCUGAAGUGGUGGUUCAGGAACCUGCAUUUUUACAGAGCGCUCCAGGGGAUUCUGAGGAUCCGUUUGUGGCCCUAAUACUGAGAAACACGGGUUUAUAGUUCUCACCUCUGGUUGCAUGGCAGAUUCAUUCAGGAAACAUUUAUAAUGUACUGAUACUCAGGCAUUACACACAGAGAGUCUGAUGUAAUCGGCACAGUGGAAUAAUGCCUGUGCAUCACCAGGUAAAUGUGCUAUUUUGCCAGGGCUGAGAACCACUGACUGAUCCAGGGGUCCCAAACUUGCAAAGUGGUAAGGCUCACAUAGGCAUGCUUGAUAAAACUGCAGACUGGUAGGCUGGACCCUGGAGAGUGGUUGAGAGGGUCUAGGUUGAGGUGUGGGAAUCCAUGUUUUUAAUAAGCUGGUGAGCUGAUCAUCAUCAUUAGUGAGUUUGAGAUAAAACAUUAUUAUGAAUAAGUUUAUCAGAUAUUUCACUAUCAUAGUAUAAAGUGGAACAGAGGUGCCUGGGGUGACAAGACCUGGGUUAUGGGACAUUUAAUAAGACAGAAAGCAAGACCAGAGCACUGACAGGAAUGACAAGGUCACAAGCAGUGAGCACGGGGGAGUGUUCCCCCCAGGGGGGAGUGUGUCAGGGGCUGGGGGACUGAAGACUGUAAAAGGAAGACCAAACAAGAACUAAGAGAAAGUCCUACACAGAUUUUUCUAUUUUGACAUUUUGGCGUAGCCCGGGGGCCUCAAUGGAAAGAUU